ensembl:ncRNA F31F6.16 ncRNA
ACGGAGGAAACGGAGGGAGAAGUAGAAGAGGAUGAGUUGAAGGAAGAGAAGGAACAAAAGGGAACAGGUCAUCACUUUGAAAUCGGAAUAGCUGCUUCUCAUUCAUUCGCAUUUGAUGACAGGAAAAACAGCAUGAAAGUGUGAUUAGAGUGAAUUGAAUUAACGA